rnacentral:rRNA from 1 species
CGCUCGAGUGGCGAACGGGUGAGUAACACGUGAGUAACCUGCCCUUGACUUUGGGAUAACUUCAGGAAACUGGGGCUAAUACCGGAUAGGAGCUCCUGCUGCAUGGUGGGGGUUGGAAAGUUUCGGCGGUUGGGGAUGGACUCGCGGCUUAUCAGCUUGUUGGUGGGGUAGUGGCUUACCAAGGCUUUGACGGGUAGCCGGCCUGAGAGGGUGACCGGCCACAUUGGGACUGAGAUACGGCCCAG